GAUGAACGCUGGCGGCGUGCCUAAUACAUGCAAGUCGAGCGAACAGAUGAGGAGCUUGCUCCUCUGACGUUAGCGGCGGACGGGUGAGUAACACGUGGAUAACCUACCUAUAAGACUGGGAUAACUUCGUGAAACCGGAGCUAAUACCGGAUAAUAUAUUGAACCGCAUGGUUCAAUAGUGAAAGACGGUUUUGCUGUCACUUAUAGAUGGAUCCGCGCCGCAUUAGCUAGUUGGUAAGGUAACGGCUUACCAAGGCAACGAUGCGUAGCCGACCUGAGAGGGUGAUCGGCCACACGGGAACUGAGACACGGUCCAGACUCCUACGGGAGGCAGCAGUAGGGAAUCUUCCGCAAUGGGCGAAAGCCUGACGGAGCAACGCCGCGUGAGUGAUGAAGGUCUUCGGAUCGUAAAACUCUGUUAUGAGGGAAGAACAAAUGUGUAAGUAACUAUGCACGUCUUGACGGUACCUAAUCAGAACGCCACGGCUAACUACGUG
rnacentral:rRNA from 1 species